UGAACUCUGGUGAAGGAACUAGGCAAAAUAGUACCGUAACUUCGGGAGAAGGUACGCUGUUGAGGGUUAAGGAUUUACUCCGUAAGCCUUCGGCAGCCUCAGAAACUAGGCCGCUGCAACUGUUUAUUAAAAACAUAGCACUCUGCAAACACGAAAGUGGACGUAUAGGGUGUGAUGCCUGCCCGGUGCUGGAAGGUUAAUUGAUGGGGUUAGCUAACGCGAAGCUCUUGAUCGAAGCCCCAGUAAACGGCGGCCGUAACUAUAACGGUCCUAAGGUAGCGAAAUUCCUUGUCGGGUAAGUUCCGACCUGCACGAAUGGCAUAAUGAUGGCGGCGCUGUCUCCACCAGAGACUCAGUGAAAUCGAAAUCGCGGUGAAGAUGCCGUGUACCCGCGGCUAGACGGAAAGACCCCGUGAACCUUUACUGCAGCUUUGCACUGAACUUUGAUCUUACCUGUGUAGGAUAGGUGGGAGGCUUUGAAGCUCGGACGCUAGUUCGAGUGGAGCCGUCCUUGAAAUACCACCCUGGUAAUAUUGAGGUUCUAACCCAGGUCCGUUAUCCGGAUCGGGGACAGUGUAUGGUGGGUAGUUUGUCUGGGGCGGUCUCCUCCUAAAGAGUAACGGAGGAGUACGAAGGUGCGCUCAGCGUGGUCGGAAAUCACGCGUAGAGUAUAAAGGCAAAAGCGCGCUUAACUGCGAGACCGACAAGUCGAGCAGGUACGAAAGUAGGUCUUAGUGAUCCGGUGGUUCUGUAUGGAAGGGCCACCGCUCAACGGAUAAAAGGUACUCUGGGGAUAACAGGCUGAUACCGCCCAAGAGUUCAUAUCGACGGCGGUGUUUGGCACCUCGAUGUCGGCUCAUCUCAUCCUGGGGCUGAAGCAGGUCCCAAGGGUAUGGCUGUUCGCCAUUUAAAGAGGUACGCGAGCUGGGUUUAGAACGUCGUGAGACGGUUCGGUCCCUAUCUACCGUGGGCGUUGGAGACUUGAGAGGAUCUGCUUCUAGUACGAGAGGACCGAAGUGGACGAACCUCUGGUGUUCCGGUUGUCACGCCAGUGGCACUGCCGGGUAGCUAUGUUCGGAAGGGAUAACCGCUGAAAGCAUCUAAGCGGGAAGCCUACCUCAAGAUAAGGUCUCCCUGAGGGUUUAACCCUCCUAAAGAGCCGUUAGAGACCAUGACGUUGAUAGGUUCGGUGUGGAAGUGCAGCGAUGCAUGAAGCUAACGAAUACUAAUUGCUCGUGAGGCUUGACCG
rnacentral:rRNA from 1 species